AGCAGCCGCGGUAAUUCCAGCUCCAAUAGCGUAUAUUAAAGUUGUUGCAGUUAAAAAGCUCGUAGUUGAAUUUCGGGGUCAGUAGGUUGGUCGUGCCACUGGUACGUACUGGCCUCACUGAUUCCUCCUUCCUGAUGAGCCGUAAUGCCAUUAAUUUGGUGUUGCGAGGAAUCUGGACUGUUACUUUGAAAAAAAUUAGAGUGUUUAAAGCAGGCUAACGCUUGAAUACAUUAGCAUGGAAUAAUGAAAUAGGACGUUUGAUUCUAUUUUGUUGGUUUCUAGGAUCGACGUAAUGAUUAAUAGGGAUAGUUGGGGGCAUUAGUAUUCAAUUGUCAGAGGUGAAAUUCUUGGAUUUAUUGAAGACUAACUACUGCGAAAGCAUUUGCCAAGGAUGUUUUCAUUAAUCAAGAACGAAAGUUAGGGGAUCGAAGACGAUCAGAUACCGUCGUAGUCUUAACCAUAAACUAUGCCGACUAGGGAUCGGAUGAUGUUUUAUUUUUAGUUGACUCAUUCGGCUAAC
rnacentral:rRNA from 1 species